ACGCACGCUGGCGGCGUGCUUAACACAUGCCAGUCGAACGGAAAGGCCUGCUUUCCCUUGUGGAUUGCGGGUACUCGAGUGGCGAACGGGUGAGUAACACGUGAGUGAUCUGCCCCCAACUUGGGUAUAAGCCUGGGAAACUGGGUCUAAUUCCCGAUAGGACUGCAGGGUGGUGCCUGUGGUGGAAAACGAUUUUCUAGUGGUUGGGGAUGAGCUCGCGGCCUAUCAGCUUGUUGGUGGGGUAAUGGCCUACCAAGGCGGCGACGGGUAGCCGGCCUGAGAGGGUGGACGGCCACAUUGGGACUGAGAUACGGCCCAGACUCCUACGGGAGGCAGCAGUGGGGAAUAUUGCACAAUGGGCGGAAGCCUGAUGCAGCGACGCCGCGUGGGGGAUGACGGCCUUCGGGUUGUAAACUCCUUUCGACCGCGAGGAAGCCACCUGGUUGGAAGGGUGGUGACGGUAGUGGUAGAAGAAGCACCGGCUAACUACGUG
rnacentral:rRNA from 1 species